rnacentral:rRNA from 1 species
GACGAACGCUGGCGGCGUGCCUAAUACAUGCAAGUUGAGCGCUGAAGGUUGGUACUUGUACCAACUGGAUGAGCAGCGAACGGGUGAGUAACGCGUGGGGAAUCUGCCUUUGAGCGGGGGACAACAUUUGGAAACGAAUGCUAAUACCGCAUAAAAACUUUAAACACAAGUUUUAAGUUUGAAAGAUGCAAUUGCAUCACUCAAAGAUGAUCCCGCGUUGUAUUAGCUAGUUGGUGAGGUAAAGGCUCACCAAGGCGAUGAUACAUAGCCGACCUGAGAGGGUAGCGGCCACAUUGGGACUGAGACACGGCCCAAACUCCUACGGGAGGCAGCAGUAGGGAAUCUUCGGCAAUGGACGAAAGUCUGACCGAGCAACGCCGCGUGAGUGAAGAAGGGUUUCGGAUCGUAAAACUCUGUUGGUAGAGAAGAACGUUGGUGAGAGUGGAAAGCUCAUCAAGUGACGGUAACUACCCAGAAAGGGACGGCUAACUACGUG